GGGGGGCUGGCGCAACGGUAGCGCGUUUGACUCCAGAUCAAAAGGUUAUCGGUUCAAAUCCGGUGUCCCUCA